rnacentral:rRNA from 1 species
UACGUAGGGGGCGAGCGUUGUCCGGAAUUAUUGGGCGUAAAGAGCUCGUAGGCGGCUUGGCAAGUCGGAUGUGAAAACUCCAGGCUCAACCUGGAGCCGCCAUUCGAUACUGCUAUGGCUAGAGUCCGGUAGGGGAGUGUGGAAUUCCCGGUGUAGCGGUGAAAUGCGCAGAUAUCGGGAGGAACACCGGUGGCGAAGGCGGCUUGCUGGGCCAGUUCUGACGCUGAGGAGCGAAAGCGUGGGGAGCGAACAGG